UACGUAGGGUGCAAGCGUUGUCCGGAAUUAUUGGGCGUAAAGAGCGUGUAGGCGGCCCGAUUAGUCCGCUGUGAAAGUCCAGGGCUCAACCCUGGAAUGCCGGUGGAUACUGUCGGGCUAGAGUCCGGAAGGGGCGAGUGGAAUUCCUGGUGUAGCGGUGAAAUGCGCAGAUAUCGGGAAGAACACCCGUGGCGAAGGCGGCUUCCUGGUCUGCAACUGACGCUGUGGCGCGAAAGCUAGGGGAGCAAACGGG
rnacentral:rRNA from 1 species